UACGUAUGGGGCAAGCGUUGUUCGGAAUUAUUGGGCGUAAAGGGCGUCUAGGCGGGGAGUUAAGUUAGAUGUGAAAGCCAUGGGCUCAACCCAUGAAUUGCACCUAAAACUGAUUCUCUUGAGUUCGGGAGAGGAGAGCGGAAUUCCCGGUGUAGCGGUGAAAUGCGUAGAUAUCGGGAAGAACACCAGUGGCGAAGGCGGCUCUCUGGCCCAGAACUGACGCUGAAGCGCGAAAGCGUGGGGAGCGAACGGGAUUAGAAACCCCCGUAGUCC
rnacentral:rRNA from 1 species